CCUACGGGUGGCAGCAGUGAGGAAUAUUGGUCAAUGGGCGGAAGCCUGAACCAGCCAAGUAGCGUGCGGGAUGAAGGCCCUGCGGGUCGUAAACCGCUUUUGCACGGGGGUAAAACCCUCCACUUGUGGAGGUCUGCAGGUACCGUGCGAAUAAGGGCCGGCAAAUUCCGAGCCAGCAGCCGCGGUAAUACGGAAGGCGCGAGCGUUAUCCGGAUUCAUUGGGUUUAAAGGGAGCGUAGGCGGGCGUUCAAGUCAGCGGUAAAAUCGCGCGGCUCAACCGCGCCCCGCAGUUGAAACUGGGUGCCUUGAGUGCACAACAGGCAGGCGGAAUUCGUGGUGUAGCGGUGAAAUGCAUAGAUAUCACGAGGAACCCCGAUUGCGAAGGCAGCCUGCCGGGGUGCGACUGACGCUGAGGCUCGAAGGUGCGGGUAUCAAACAGGAUUAGAUACCCUUGUAGUC
rnacentral:rRNA from 1 species